UAACACGUGGGUAACCUGCCUUAUAGUGGGGGAUAGCCUUUUGAAAGGAAGAUUAAUACCGCAUAAGAUUGUAGUAUCGCAUGAUAUAGCAAUUAAAGGAGCAAUUCGCUAUAAGAUGGACCCGCGUCGCAUUAGCUAGUUGGUGAGGUAAUGGCUCACCAAGGCGACGAUGCGUAGCCGACCUGAGAGGGUGAUCGGCCACAUUGGGACUGAGACACGGCCCAGACUCCUACGGGAGGCAGCAUG
rnacentral:rRNA from 1 species